GGAGGGUGCAAGCGUUAAUCGGAAUUACUGGGCGUAAAGCGCGCGUAGGCGGCUAAGUAAGUCGGAUGUGAAAGCCCUGGGCUCAACCUGGGAAUUGCAUUCGAUACUGCUUGACUAGAGUAUGGUAGAGGGAAGUGGAGUUUCCGGUGUAGCGGUGAAAUGCGUAGAUAUCGGAAGGAACACCAGUGGCGAAGGCGACUUCCUGGGCCAAUACUGACGCUGAGGUGCGAAAGCGUGGGGAGCAAACAGGGAUUAGAUACCCUGGUAGUCCACGCCGUAAACGAUGAGAACUAGAUGUUGGGAGGGUUACCUCUCGGUGUCGCAGCUAACGCGUUAAGUUCUCCGCCUGGGGAGUACGCCGGCAACGGUA
rnacentral:rRNA from 1 species